CGUCCUGUAGCUCAGUGGUUAGAGUACUUGCCUCAUAAGCAAAAGGACCUGGGUUUGAUGACCCGGCAGGGUGA